rnacentral:rRNA from 1 species
CCUACGGGAGGCAGCAGUGAGGAAUAUUGGUCAAUGGGCGCGAGCCUGAACCAGCCAAGUAGCGUGAAUGAUGACUGCCCUACGGGUUGUAAACUUCUUUUAUAAAGGAAUAAAGUGAGGCACGUGUGCCUUUUUGUAUGUACUUUCUGAAUAAUGCUCGGCUAACUCCGUGCCAGCAGCCGCGGUAAUACGGAGGAUCCGAGCGUUAUCCGGAUUUAUUGUGUUUAAAGGGAGCGUAGAUGGGUUGUUAAGUCAGUGGUGAAAGUGUGCGGCUCAACCGUAAAAUUGCAAUUGAUACUGGCAGUCUUGAGUACAGUUGAGGUAGGCGGAAUUCGUGGUGUAGCGGUGAAAUGCUUAGAGAUCACGAAGAACUCCGAUUGCGAAGGCAGCUUACUAAACUGCCACUGACAUUGAUGCUCGAAAGUGUGGGUAUCAAACAGGAUUAGAUACCCUGGUAGUC